rnacentral:rRNA from 1 species
GUGUCAGCAGCCGCGGUAAUACAGAGGGUGCAAACGUUGUUCGGAUUUACUGGGCGUAAAGCGCGUGUAGGCGGCUUGGCAAGUCGGGUGUGAAAGCCCUGGGCUCAACCUAGGAAGUGCACUCGAAACUGCCUCGCUGGAGUCUCGGAGAGGAAAGCGGAAUUCUCGGUGUAGAGGUGAAAUUCGUAGAUAUCGAGAGGAACAUCGGUGGCGAAGGCGGCUUUCUGGACGACGACUGACGCUGAGACGCGAAAGCGUGGGGAGCAAACAGGAUUAGAAACCCGUGUAGUCC